rnacentral:tRNA from 1 species
GAAAUAUAAAUAAAUUAAGCUUCUAACUUAAUAUAUAGUGAUUAACAUUCAUUAAUAUUUCU